rnacentral:rRNA from 1 species
GAUGAACGCUGGCGGCGUGCUUAACACAUGCAAGUCGAACGAAGCACUUUGAUCGAUUUCUUCGGAUUGAAAUUUUAGUGACUGAGUGGCGGACGGGUGAGUAACGCGUGGGUAACCUGCCUCACACAGGGGGAUAACAGUUGGAAACGGCUGCUAAUACCGCAUAAGCGCACAGUACCGCAUGGUACAGUGUGAAAAACUCCGGUGGUGUGAGAUGGACCCGCGUCUGAUUAGCUAGUUGGCAGGGCAACGGCCUACCAAGGCGACGAUCAGUAGCCGACCUGAGAGGGUGACCGGCCACAUUGGGACUGAGACACGGGCCCAAACUCCUACGGGAGGCAGCAGUGGGAAUAUUGGCACAAUGGGGGGAAAACCCUGGAUGCAGCGACGCCGCGUGAGCGAAGAAGUAUUCGGUAUGUAAAGCUCUAUCAGCAGGGAAGAAGAAAUGACGGUACCUGACUAAGAAGCAACCGGCUAACUACGUGCCAGCAG